ensembl:lncRNA
GCACAUCAGGCCUGUCAGAGUAGGGAGGGCCCCAUCUCUCUCUCAUCAAGGAAUACAAGCAGAAUUGGCAUACUGUCCUCUGGAAGGCUGCCUGCGGCCGCACCUCACCCCUCUGGCACUCUGGACAGGCUGGCCUUCCGGGCAGCUUCUGCCCCAGUUGCCCUGGUGUCCUCUGAGGAAGCACUGUGGAGAGGCAGGGAGGCAGAAGGCGCUGUGCUCUGGCUAGAACUGUGCAAUGCCUUGGUCACGGCUCCUCGAGCCAUCACUGCCCAGCGGCAUUGCUGCAUUUUGAGUCACGCUGCCAGCAGCAAUGAGACAUCUAUAGACUCUUGUCUGUGCAGGAUCAGAAAUGGGAGUAAGGACUCCUUGGUUCUGACCUAGCAGGUCUCUAAGAAACAAGAUCACAGCUGUAUCUGCCAGCAAAGAUUUAACUCUUGUUUCCAAAGCAUCAGCUGGCAAAUUAAUUAGUUCUUAGUGGCCAGCAGAGCAAUGGUGGUAAAGCGGGAGGGAGUCUCAUGGGCUGCUCCCCAUCUAGGUCCUGGGCUUGGCCUCUUGGAGAUAACUUUCUCUCGUUGGAGUGAGGCUCCGUGACAGCAGGAGUAUGUCCCUUGUUCACUCCUUUCUCAGCACCUGGAAUAGCACCAGGCAGAGGUGGCAUUCAGUCAGUAUUUGUGGGAUGAAUGAAUCCACCGCUGAAAUCUGGCCCGGGCUGGAGAAUGGGCUGGCCUCCUGUUCUGGAGGACAGAGCCCUUUGCAGUUCCACUCAGAGAAGGCCUUGGGCUGGAGAGAAUCAGUGUUAUUGCUCCUCUCUCAUCUUUCUUCUGUAAUUGAGUCAUCACUGAAGACUCAGAGACAGGAGAAAGCAAAACAGUGCAGGGCUCCCUCAGCUUUGUGGGGUGGGGGGCAGUAUUAGAAAGUGCAUAAUAAGGAUGUCGCCUUCUGGGUGUGUGGGGAACCCUGUUGAGGCAAAUCCGCAUAUAUUUGCAUACAUAUAUACACGCACCCUAACCUGCAAAGGGACGCCUAGCUCUUGCCACCUAUGAAAAGACUAAUCCUUCUAUUCUCUCCAGGAUGUGCUGAAUCAAAACUUAACUGCUAAUGUUCUAGAAAUCUUAGGGGGAAAAACACAAAAUGAACAUGCCAUUUAAAUUUUAAGUUUAAAAAUGUCAUUUUUGGUUUACAUUUUUUAAACUAGAAAAGAGCCUAUCUUGAAGACUUUCCAGGGUGGGAGAAAGGGAUACAGGCAAAGAUAAACUCAAUCCUGAACCUUCCGUUGAAAAGGAGACUGGAUCUACUGUUUCCUUCUUUCUCUGUGUGCCGUGCAGUAGCUCAACCCCGUCCUAACAAGAGGGCUAACACGGCUUGGAGAAAUUGGGUCUCUUCUUUUUCCAGAAUCAUCACACGUUUUCCGAAGGAAAAAUGGACUCUCACUUUCGAAAACACAAAACCACGUUUGCUUUACGUGCCGUAGAAAAGAACUCUGCGCGCCACGCGGAGAGCAGGCUGGGCGCCGGGAGCCGGCGAGCCGAGCGCCGCGGCGUGUUGUGUAACCGGCCCGGGAAUCACGUUGCACUGCCGAGUUCCACGGGCUCUUAGUGCAUUAAUAAGCUUGAUCUUUUUAUUCAAAUACAAGGAGCAACCACAGCCGGCUCCAGGUCACGUGUCCUGAUCACAUGGUGCUCAGACGCCGAAACCGGCUGGCGAUCAUUAACUAGUGCUUACUCCCGGGAGAGAAUGCAGGUUUUAAAGAGACGAACUCUUAUUUUUAUAAAACAGCCAGGACUGCAAUAGAAGGUGUGUUUUGUUUCGCAUUAUACGAAGAAUACUUUCCAAAAACACUGUGCAAAAUGGCCUCAGCCUUACAGGAAAAACCACCCGUGAUGGUCUGCAGCCUUAUAUCCUAUUUCAUUGAACUGUUUUCGGAAACAAUAAAUAUGUAAAGAAUUUCCAGUGUUCUACGUUCACUGUAUCACUGAAAUAUAUGUAUUUCAGGAAAUUUCCCUAGUGAGGGAGUUUGCUUGUCUCUGUUCUUUCCCCUGCUCUGCCUCUUCAAAACGAUGACAGUCUGUGACCUAAAGGAUGGAUCCAGAUCUUUUGAAGAGAAUGUAAAAUUUAUAUAUACAAAAUUUGAUAUUAAAGUAUCACAAAAUUCAGAAAAAAUACUUAUUAUUUAACACACCUCUAAAAUCCUUUUUAUCCUGCAUUUUGGAGGGCGUGUUCUUGGAGGGGCUCAUAUUCUUGAAAGGAGAGAACUUUAAUCUUGACCAGCUGUCAAUUUUAAGUGUGCCUACCAUUGUACAAAUUUAAUGAUUAGAAAAAUUUUCCCCGGACCAGCUUCUGACUAGUCUGUUCUGGCUUUGUCUGUUCCACAUCUUGUCUCUCCUCCCCCAGCCCACAGUAUCUCUGGGGCUGACGCUGCAGGACACACUCGUGUUGUAAUGUGACCUCUGGAUCUGAGCCUACACAUCUCCGUGCUGGGUGAGUUAACACAGUGGCCCUAGGAAUAUUCCUGGAAACCUUCCUUGCUCCAGAACAGCCAACAGUAACUUAACUGUAUAGUUUAUAAAUUUAUAAAUAUCUUUACCUAAAGUAGGUAUCUGUAACACAGAUUCCUCUUAGCCAGGUCCCAAAAAUGCCCAUGCCCACUCCAAAGUCACCUGAAAGGAGGGGAAAUGUGGCCAAAGAGAAGUCAGAGUAGAAAGAGGCAGUGAUCUUAAACAAUUACGGUCAUGGUAUCUUACCGCUGCCAAGUUUACGAAAGCAAAUAGCCACGAAUGUGUUGCUGGGGCUCCUGCGUGAGCCUCCAACGAGGGCUGUGAAGUGAGAGGGCUGGAGUCUCAUUUUCAUUAGCUUCAUGAUAACUCUGUGCCUAGUGACCCCGGGUGCAUAAUAAGUACAUCAAAAGCAGUCAUUUUCUAGGUCCUGGAAUCAAAGAUGGGCGUUUGAGGCAAGCUUGCUCAUCUGGGCAGCUUGUAUGGAAUGACUUGUCAGGGUAAACCCCACUUGAUAAAGGGCCUCUGCUGGCCUCUGACUCAGCCCCUUGCACAUUCCCCUCUCCCGCCAGGCUCCCAGCGAAAAGCAGCCUCCUGUGUAUGGGUGGGGGUGGGGGGGCGUGGCAGGGAAGCGGCAUUUGUCCCGCCUGUGUUUUGUGCCCAGCACUACCAGCACGUCACACUCUUUAUUCCUCAGGACGACCCUGUGAAGUGGCUGUUACACUUAGUCCUGCUCUGCAGCUGAGAAACCGAGGCAGAGAGAUUGUUUCCUGCCUACAGUCACGUGGGGAGAGGUUGCAAAGCUGGCACUCAAAAACCCAGUCUGUCUGACUCCCCAGGCUGGUUCCUUCGUGGCAGAACUCUGACCUUAAGCUUUUCGUGAAGUGAAUGCAACAUGCCUUGUUAUAGUUUCCAGAGCAGAGCCGACUUUAUUUGCAGCCAUAUCCGGUUAUGGCUCCGCUUUCUUUACAUCCCUUCUUGUGGAGCAUGAUCUCAUUGCCUGCUAAAAUAAUUACGGAGUGGAGCCAACAGGAUUCCUUGACCAGCUUUAAAGCUUCCCUCUUCCCCUCUGAUGGUAAUGUUCUUUCCUGCCUUCACCUGCCAGUACCCUUGAAUCUUAUCGACGCCAUGCUUCGCUCUCCCCGUGCCACCCCAUUGAUUGCCCCUAGAACAUGCCACCCGUCUUUAUGCUGCCCAGCAGAAAGAGCCACCUUGCUGAGUCACUUGCUUAGCUUGUCAGGACAGUAUUUUGAAUUUGGCAAGGCUUGCCAACAUUCUGUUUGUGGAGGAAAGGAGGCUGUCAGUUCAGACGAUGCGUAAAUGUACUAAUUAGCUGGAUGGAAAGAGCCCAGGUGCAGGCGGCAGCCUCUCCCGGCCAGAGGAGAUAGAUACCCAUCGGAUACAGUCUCCUGACAGCAGGAGCAGCGAUUCAGCAUCCCAGGCCAGGCUGCAGACAGGGACUCAAGAGCAUCACUGACUCCUUUAGCUCAGGGUUUCUCAACUUCUCCAGCGCUGGAGACUGGACUGGGGGUGGGGAGUGGGGGAGCUGUCCUAUGCAUUGUAGGAUAUUUGGUAGCAUCCCUCUGCUACCCAGGACUCGAUCCCUCCCCCAGAUUGUGACAAUCAAAAAUAUCUUCAGACAUUGUCCAAAAUCACCCCUGGUCAAGAGCUGCUGCAUGAGACCUGUCAGCAGACGGCCACUUCAGCUUCCAGUUGUGUUGAUUCUUAAGGCGGCAGGUCAGGAGACAGAGGGGCUUUGGGCUCUCAUAGGGAGGUAACCCACAGUGGGAGUGUUCUGAGUUAGACACGGGGCUCACGGUGGCAGCCCUCUUGGGUGAGAGUGUUGUAAGGAAAAAGGUAAAACCUUUGAGCGUGGAAGAACACUCGUUUCUCCCCAGUCAGAGUUAACCUUAGAUUGAGGGCGUUACCCAAAAAGUUUAGCUGGGUGGUUAAGAGUUCUGCAGUCAGAGACCUGGGUUUGAAUCCCAGCUUUGCUCUUAAUUAGCUUAACUUUGGACAAGUUACUUUACCUAUCUGUGUCUUGGUUUCCUUAUUUGUAAUAAGGGAAUGAUAAUAUCUAUACCAAAGAGUUGUUCUAAAAAUUCAGUGUGAUAAUGCUUGUGCUCGACACAUAGUAAGUGCUUAACCAAUGUAACUCACUUUUAAAAAUUUCUGGACCAAUCUUUGAUUUUUUUAUUUUUUAUUAUGUAGAUAAGUAGAGUUCUUUCUACCCAUACCCUCCAGGUAAUUGUGUCAACCUCCUGCCUGGUCGAAUGAUUCUGGAAACAGUAUAGCAAGCAUCCACUUUAGAAUCUCCUUCUAGCUCUUUCUGGGAAGUACAGAUGCCCUCUCCCUGAGAACUUCUAUGGUCGUCAUCAAAGUUGUGCUCUCCAGAGAAAGCUCAGCUCACCACCAGUGACCCAUCAGGGUUCUUGGCCUCAGGUACCAUGGUCUGCAGGGUGCUUGCUCUGCUCAUACUAAGCCUCAGGUGUUUUGCAAACGUUUUUAACCCCAUCAUGUCCAUGAAAGGAUUCACUGAUAUAUUCAAUUACCAACAAGAGAUAAUUAAAAAAAAAUGGAAAACAGUGAAAAUGAAUGAAUGUUGCCCUUGUUUACGGACCGAGUUAUUCAACGUUAGGAAAGAUUCUAGUUGACAAAGGGUGAUUGUGUCGUGUAUAGAAGCUGGCUUGCCUCUACAGUCAACAAUAAUCAGCAAGAGACAGGACAAGUAAUAGACAAAAGCAAAAGGAUCUGAAGUGUCGUGGCUCGGAGGCAUCAACAGAGAGUCUGCCAGCCUCCUUCAGGAGCAUGCCAGGAGUUUGUUUGAAGACUUAGAGGCUAGAGUGAUGAAAUGUUUGCCCCAAGCCAUGGAUGUUUCCUCUGUACAAGGUCCCCUUUGAAUUUGCCUGAGUUCAAAGUGCAGUGGGGUGAUGGAUAUGAAGCUGAGAUUCUUACAAUAUUUGCAGAUGUUCUCUCUCCCGAUGUGAUUUCAACAUAGAAAAAAACGAAUUUGUUGGGAGAAACUAUGCCUGAGAGAAUAUACACCAGCUAAGAGGAGGAGCAUAUGCUUGAUUUUAAAAGACUCCUAAGUGACAGAAAUCAAUCUGAGGGCUGCGAGCGUCACCCCCUCCUGGGCAACGGGGAUGACAAACAGUGCGCUUAACAAAGGCUUUCAGGAAUUAACCUGAUUCUGUGCGGAGCUUCUGAACAAGAAGAGUCUUGCUUCUGCCUGGCAGCUACUUAGUUAUUUCCCCACAUAUGUGACAUGUGAGCUCAGAUUGGUAAACAUGGGGAUGGUUUUUAAAAUUCUCAGGGCAUAAACAGAUGGUAUAGUUCCAACCUAGACUACUGUAUCAUUCUAUAAUCUUUUGGACGCAAUAAGAGUGGCUUCCUCAGAGCUUUGAACUCUGCAGAGCUGGAGCUGAAAGCAGCUUAGAAGAGCACAGGAAAGCAGGUUCCAUCCUGGUGGCUAUUCGCUUCCCUUUCCUCUUCCUUUUCGUAGUCCAGCAAAGUCCAAGGCCUUGGAAUUCUAGCCGGAUCUACUGGCUGAUGUAGAAAAAUGAGCAAGGAGAAUCAGCUAGGCAGCUGGCCCAGGCGUCAACUCAGGAUGGACCAUUCUUAUUGAGCUCUGGUGCAAUUUACUUUUGUAAAUUCGCGUUGUUACUGAAUAAACAGUCAAAGUUAGCUGUGACAGUUCAACUGAGGAUGUAAGAUGACAUGACAUUUUAACAUAGUGUGUGCUUCAAAAAACCUUUUACUUUGCAAUAAUUUCAGACUUCCAGAGAAGUAAAUACAACAGAGGAUUUUGAUAUGUCUCUCACCCAGCCUCCCCUAACUCCACUGUCUGACUCGGCUAGGCCUCGCUUGGACGAAUGACUUGUAUGAAGCCACACAGCUAGUGACUGAAGAGCAGCUUUAGCACCUGGGACCGACUUGCCUAGUUCUGUUUGUUCUCUGCCACCACAGUGCCCCUCGUUAUCAUUAUCAAGUAACAUUAAAAAAAAUGCUUUGAUUUGAAUUACUUUAAGACUCAUAAAAAGUUGUAAAAAUAGUACGGAGAGAACCAUGUGCCCUUCACUCAACUUCUCCCAACAAUAAAAUCUUCUAUAACAAUAGUACAUUGUCAGAACUGGGAGCCUGACGUUGGUCCAAUGCUCUUGAGUCAGAUACAGACCUUCAAGUAACAUUUUUAACAUAUAAAUUUGUGCAUUCUGCUAAGCAAAAGCCAGAAAAAGACUCCAUCUUUUCAUAUUAAGGAGCUUACAAUCUAAACGGGCAUGUAAAGAUAAUUCACCGAAUAACAGCAUGCAAAUACAGCCCCAAAUAUAUUUUCAGGCCUUCUUUCAGAAAAGUGAGAGAUGGUGGGGAGAGUAUGGGUUUUGAACUCAGAUAAAUCUGGAUCUGAAUUCAGCUUUGCUGCUUAAGAUUUGGGUGUCCCUGGGGAAAGAGUUUCCCUGAACCUCAUUUGCUUGAUGUAAAACACUGAAUAUUAUUAUCUACAUCUUAACAUGGUGAGAAUUAAAUUAUGUAUGCUAUACAUAAUAUAUAUAUAUAACACAUGUAUAUAUACACAUAUAUACAUGUAUAAUAUAUAUAUAGAACAGGACUUGGCACAUAAUAGAUAUUUAAUAAAUGGUCACCGUAAUAAUUAUUAAUAAAAGAAUAAUCCUUAAUAAUCACAAUUUUCUCGUUGCCCUCUUGAUCUCAGGUCUGGCUGAAAUACCACAUUGGUCUUUCUGCCUCUUAACUUACUCAGUGAGAGUUUAGCUAGAAAUCGAAGAACCAGCAGCAGUUCCUUGUGAAGAAAGAGAGGCCCGGAGAGGGCAACAUGACUUUCCCAAUGUGGCCACGCUGGUGGGUCCUCGGAUCCUCCUGCUUCCACAUCAGUGUUUUAGUAAAAUAUGGGAAGAUUGUCAAACACUGAAAUAACGCAUGUAAUUUACCCUUUCUUUUAAAGAAACCUUUGGGGGCCAGCCCCGGUGGCCCAGCGGUUAAGUUCGGCAUGCUCCACUUCGGCGGCCCAGGUUAGGUUCCCUGGCGUGCACCUACAGCGCUCGUCUGUCAGUGGCCGUGCUAUGGUGGGGGCUCACGUACAAAAAGAAGAAGACUGGCAACAGAUGUUAGCUCAGAAGACGAGAUUAAGAUGCAGACAUGCAUGUGGACAGAGGAAAGACCAUGUGAGGGCACAGGGAGAAGGCGGCCAUGUCCAAAGCAAGGAGGGGGGCCUCAGGAGAAGCGAACCCUCUUGACACUUUGAUCUUGGACCCCCAGCCUCCAGAACUGUGAGACCAUAAAUGUCUGUUGGUCAAGCCACCCAGUCUGUUAUGGGGCCCCAGCAGACCAAUAUGUGGUUUAAUCAUAGCUGCACUGUGAUUUUAAUCAAUCAAUCAUAAAGGUUAUUGGACACCUGUUUUUUAAAAUCACCAUGUAAAUUGAGUAUACUUUUGUUUUUUCUUUUUAACAGCAUAAUUGAGGGAUAAUUAACAUACAGUAAACUAUACAUACUUUAAAUGUACAAUCUGAUAAAUUUUGACGUCUAGGCUCAUGAAACCACAAUCAAGAUAAUGAACACAUGUCAUCUUCAAAAGUUUCCUUGAGCUCCUUUGUAAUCUCUCUCUGUCCCUCCUUCUCCUUCCCCCAUUUUCCAGGCCACCACUGAAUCUGCUUUCUGUCAUUAUAGAUUAAUUUGCCGUUUCUAGAGUUUUAUAUAAAUGGAAGCAUAUAGUAUGUACUCUUUUUUUGGUCUAACUUCUUUCACUUUGCGUAAUUAUUUGGACAUUCGUCCAGGGUGCUGUGUGUAUCAAGAGGGCAUUCUUUUU